ACGGAGGAUCCGAGCGUUAUCCGGAUUUAUUGGGUUUAAAGGGAGCGUAGGCGGGUUGUUAAGUCAGUUGUGAAAGUUUGCGGCUCAACCGUAAAAUUGCAGUUGAUACUGGCGACCUUGAGUGCAACAGAGGUAGGCGGAAUUCGUGGUGUAGCGGUGAAAUGCUUAGAUAUCACGAAGAACUCCGAUUGCGAAGGCAGCUUACUGGAUUAUAACUGACGCUGAUGCUCGAAAGUGUGGGUAUCAAACAG
rnacentral:rRNA from 1 species